rnacentral:rRNA from 1 species
GGGGUUAAUUGACGAAGAGGGAAGUAAUGGUUUUUGACUCGCCAGCGACGGAAGCGCAAUCUUUUGUACCCACGAUGGCAGAAGCUGGGGCGUGCUGGCGGUCAUAGGAAAGGAGGCUGCGGUGAGACCCUUAACCCUACGCCCGGUUGGCGGCUAGGCAAUGGCCGGUGGUAUAGUAGUUCCUUUAGUACCGGCUUAGCUGGACACACGCCGCAACGAGAUUGUACGGGCGGUGAAGUGGAGAGGAGGUUACAGAGCGAACUCACACCCUCGCGCGGCCCGACGGCAAAUCAACGGCUUGGGGCUUUAGUGUCUAGGAGCCAGUUCCGUCUUGGCGAUUCCUAGAUGGGCGGCAACGAAACGUGUCGUCGCUCCCGGAGCGGGUCUCGGUCAAAGCACCCGACGGGCCACCUUAGUACGAACACGAAGGCUGCUUAAACUGCUGCCGCCGUUCGUAGGCGUUGGUGUCGGCUACACAGGGCUGCGCCGCAACUUAGCCAGUUAAGCCGUAGCCGGCGAAGUGACUAGAUGUACGACGGUAGACAGCUAAACGAACGAUUUCCACACUGGAAGAUAACAACACGCGUCAUACUGUUCCAGCAGUGUAAGGUCCUUUAGUUAGGUAGUCGCAAAUCAGGUUGUCAACCGGUCGUAGUGCUCUUAACCACAAAUGUACGAAGACAUACCAAUCAUAAACCCUAACUCACUACGAUAUGUAUAAACAAAGACUAAAAACAUGCUGUCAGUUUUAGACGAGAGGUAACUAAGAAAACCUACCACGCCCUCUUUCCGUGUAGUAACAUGGCCUCACUUGAUCGUGCUUGACUUGGAUCUCAGUAGAAGACUAAGGUUUUAGAGCUGGUUUCCCGUACGGUUACAGCAUAGAAUGGUAGACACAGAGACCCGGCGUGUCGAGGCUGUGAUAGGCAGGUCCGAUUAUUAUCAAGCACGAAGUGUACCUGAAGUGUUUCUCCGAGAAAGUGAACCUGUAUUAUAUCACCUAUAGAAAAUCUAAUAUGUGACGUUAAAACUGAAAAAAGGUAAAGAGAGUGUGUUCACAAACUAACGAUUAACUACCGAUAAAAAUACGAAAAAGUCGUUAUCAUAACUACACAUUACUGUACUACAGAUGGUUCCAAACGGUUUUAAAAGUUCGUCCGGUACAAUAUAUGAAGGAGGUAUUUAAUUUGACGUUUUUGUAGAAUAUAAUACCAUGUCUCCAUCAUACAUCGAUACGAAAAGAAAGAACGUUGACCCACUCUAAAUAAAACUACCGUCCGCCUUAAAACAAGGAGGAAUUUAUUCUGAAAGAAAAAUGGAAUAAAAACGUCCAAUACGACGAAUAUUAGCGACUCCACGUCAAGGUAAAAAUAGUUUAAACCUUGAGACAAAAGAGGUUGACGGUAAUCAUAUUUAUUUUCGAACGUUAAACCAGGUAGCUUGUUCAACAACAUGGGGCAUCCAGUAAUAUAUUGUCCAUUUUACAAUUCGAUAGUUAACUCUACACAAACGUCUCAAAUACUAUCUAUGUGCUCGUAAUUUUAAGUUAUAAAAGGGUAGAAUUUAUACACUUUAAAAAUGUUCGAUAUAAAGAAACGAUUACUUGACUAAAGUGGCUCCAGUGGUUUAUGAAAUGAAAGAGUGUUACGUAUAAGUAAAACAAUAUUAUCAAGGAGUAUUAUAACAAUUAAAAGGAUAACUAGAACUAAAAUAUAAACAGCUGUGUAAAAAACGAACGAACGUAGAACGGUAAACCUCUUCCGUACGACUUAAUAAUAACACGCGUAGAUACAAAACUGGAAGAUAGAUACGUUAAAACAAAAGAAACGAGUGAAGUACGUAACCGUUUUCCAUGGUACAAGAAGGCAGGCACGAAAAAACACGUGCAUAAAUAGAGAUCGUUUUACACUGUGGAAAAAAAGACAAGUAGGAUGUUCUUGGUUGAGAUCUUCGACCUAAAAAACAGGUUUUCCUGGGGGACGGCUUGCGAUAACAGUUUUUCCUGAUAGACGUCUAUUUUUGCAGUUUUUCCUGGGGGACUGAUCACCGCCGUCCACGCCGUCCGCUGUGCACCGUGGACGGCGGUGAUCCACUCCGCCGUCCGGGGCGGCGGUGGCGUCCUCCGCCGGCGCGCCACUUAUAUGGAUGUAAAUUGAGGACUUUACAUGG